AUUGAACGCUGGCGGCAUGCCUUACACAUGCAAGUCGAACGGCAGCACGGGAGCAAUCCUGGUGGCGAGUGGCGAACGGGUGAGUAAUAUAUCGGAACGUGCCCAGUCUGGGGGAUAACGUAGCGAAAGCUACGCUAAUACCGCAUACGAUCUAUGGAUGAAAGCGGGGGAUCGCAAGACCUCGCGCGAUUGGAGUGGCCGAUAUCAGAUUAGGUAGUUGGUGAGGUAAAGGCUCACCAAGCCGACGAUCUGUAGCUGGUCUGAGAGGACGACCAGCCACACUGGGACUGAGACACGGCCCAGACUCCUACGGAGGCAGCAGUGGGGAAUUUUGGACAAUGGACGCAAGUCUGAUCCAGCCAUUCCGCGUGCAGGAUGAAGGCCCUCGGGUUGUAAACUGC
rnacentral:rRNA from 1 species